GACGAACGCUGGCGGCGUGCUUAACACAUGCAAGUCGAACGCUGAAGCUCAGCUUUUGUUGGGUGGAUGAGUGGCGAACGGGUGAGUAACACGUGAGUAACCUGCCCCCUUCUUUGGGAUAACGCCCGGAAACGGGUGCUAAUACUGGAUAUUCACUGGUCUUCGCAUGGGGGUUGGUGGAAAGGGUUUUUCUGGUGGGGGAUGGGCUCGCGGCCUAUCAGCUUGUUGGUGGGGUGAUGGCCUACCAAGGCUUUGACGGGUAGCCGGCCUGAGAGGGUGACCGGUCACAUUGGGACUGAGAUACGGCCCAGACUCCUACGGGAGGCAGCAGUGGGGAAUAUUGCACAAUGGGCGCAAGCCUGAUGCGGCGACGCCGCGUGAGGGAUGGAGGCCUUCGGGUUGUGAACCUCUUUGGCUCAUGGUCAAGCCGCAACAAUGGUUGUGGUGAGGGUAGUGGGUAAAGAAGCGCCGGCUAACUACGUG
rnacentral:rRNA from 1 species